AUAGUCUUUGUGGUUUGGCUUUCUUCAUAUUUAGUCUAUAACUUUCUAAAAUUACAGCUAAAGUCUCCAACUUUUUCAAUUUCGUUCCCGGAUAGUCCCUGGCGUGAAAUGACCUAAAUACCCUUACUAUUAUUAAAAAUUAACAUUUAAAUCAAUAACCACCUUCAAUCCAAACACACCUCUUCUUCCUCAUAUUCAGAUUCAUCUUCAAUCCAAACACACUUCUUCUUCCAAUUUAAUUUGAUUAAUUGCAGAACCUAGACAAUGAGAUAUAGAUAAAGAAAGAGAUAGAGAGAGUGAACCCUGUUAGAGAGAGGAACCGAUGAGAGUGAGAUAGACGACGGGUGACGAUGGUGGUCAUGGAUUUUGAGGUUGGAGACGAAGACGAGUGGAGAUGAUGAUGAUGGCUUUCUGGCUAUUGAACCAUGAGAGUGGCAGUGGUGAUGAUGGUUGAGAGUGGUGCUUUUGACCAUUGAUAUGGGUUGGUAAACCAUCUACAUGGGAUUAUUUGGAUAUGACCCCACAGGAUGAAGCUUCCAUAUUUACAAAUGAUGUUGUCAUCCAAGACAUGGAGUUUCCGGAGGGGUGAUCGGAGUUUCUUGGGUAAUGGUGGUCGGAGUUCUUGACGGUGGUGGAGGUUGUUGAGAGUUUGAAAAUGGCGGUGGUGAUUGUCGGUGGGUCCCACAAAAAUGGUUAGAGAGGCUGAUUGGAUGAGGGGUUGUGAGAUUAUCCGGGAACGAAAUCGCAAAAGUUGGGGACUAUAGCUGUAAUUUUAGAAAGUUAUGGACUAAAGGUGAAAAAAGGGCAAAACACAGGGACUAUCCAAGCAGAAAUGGCCACGCAAAAGAGAGAAAUAUAACUCAAUUUUUGGACCGGAGAGAAAUAGAACUGGUUUCUAGAUAAGAAACUGGACUCCCUAUAUUUGCACACUAGAAAUGGCCACACGCAGAAGAGAGAAAUAUAAUUCAACUUUUGGAUAAACAAACAUUUGAGCUCAAGACAUGAAUAGAAAGUUAAAGCACAAUUUUGAGGUAAACAAUGCGGCUUUAUUGCCAUGUAACGAAAUAGAAUCUGAUUUGUGGAUAAACAACCAAGUUUUAUUAUAUUGUUUAAAAUGCUAAGAUAUAAUUUUUCGG